rnacentral:rRNA from 1 species
CAAUAGCGUAUAUUAAAGUUGUUGCGGUUAAAAAGCUCGUAGUUGGAUUUCUGCCGAGGACGACCGGUCCGCCCUCUGGGUGAGUAUCUGGUUCGGCCUGGGCAUCUUCUUGGAGAACGUAUCUGCACUUGACUGUGUGGUGCGGUAUCCAGGACUUUUACUUUGAGGAAAUUAGAGUGUUUCAAGCAGGCACACGCCUUGAAUACAUUAGCAUGGAAUAAUAAGAUAGGACCUUGGUUCUAUUUUGUUGGUUUCUAGAGCUGAGGUAAUGAUUAAUAGGGAUAUUUGGGGGCAUUCGUACUAACCGGUCAGAGGUGGAAUUCUUGGAUUCGGUUAUGACGAACGACUGCGAAAGCAUUUGUCAAGAAUGUUUUCAUUGAUCAAGAACGAAAGUUAGGGGAUCGAAGACGAUUAGAUACCAU